CGUUACCUGCGGAGGGUUUGAGGCAGGCCCAAGAGCGAGCCCAUGGUCUUCCGACGCGGGGCCAGGGGCGGGCCCCAGGAUCCGGAGCUUCGUGCGGGGCCGAGUCCAGUUAGGGCGACUGUCCCUGGGAUCGUCGGGUCAGGCCUUGGGCUAACGUAGGCACUCUCGCAGUUCCUCCGCCUUCAGGAAGGUCUUUUCAGCAGGGGCCUUACGGGUGCAUGCUUCGGUCCUGGAGGCCUUAUCCUAGCCUCCUCUCCAUCAGCGCCACCCGUCUGGGGCCCGAAAGGAGGGAGCUUUCCCUCUGUCCCCCAGCCUUUGGACUGUCACCAAACAAGCCAUUCGUUCAUCAAAUACUUUUUAAGCGCCUACCAUGUGCCUGACAAGGGAGAUGUAACGGUGAGAAAAACUAGGUGUGGUCCAGGCCCUUCAGGGGCUCAGGUGCUCGUGGAAGAAGUGGACAUUGAAGUACUUAUCACACAAAUGAGGAUAAAAGUACGAUAGCGAUAUCUACCACGAAGCUGUUGUUCCCCACCAGAACCAAAUGAGCGCAAGAUCUGACAAAGAAAAAAAAAGGUUCAUCUUUUAUUCCUCCAAACACUUUCAUUUAAAUCAAGAGGAUGGGAUGUGGUUAUUGCUGUGUUUUUAGACAGAAUCAACGGUUUCUGGGUCUGAGAUGUUGCAUACACCUUCUCAGUCCCUGUAUCCUGAGAUGGAGUCACCUGAGAAUCCACAGCAAGUCCUAACCAGGGAUGGGUCUGGGUGAUUAAGGAAGGUUGGCUUCAGAACUGGGCCAGGGGCACUGCUUUGCUUUUGCUGUUUUGAUCAGCUCUCUGCCUGAAGGAGACAAGAAAAACCAACGGGAACAGCCCAGUAAAGGCGCCAUUCCCCAUUUUACAGCUGGGGAAACUGAGUUACAGAGCUUGUCUGCACUGAGUCAUCAGGAGCAAAUGCUAGAUCAGAUAGGGUCUCUCUCUCUGCCACCCAGGCCAGAGUGCAGUUGACGCAGGGCAGGGGAGCCCCGAAGUGGAGCAUAGUGUGUCCGGAACUGGUGGGUUCUUGGUCUCACUGACUUCAAGAAAGAAGCCGCGGACCCUCGCGAAACUCCUGGAGGGCAGAGGCAUGCCUGCCAUCUUCAUCAUUGCAUUACCACCACCCAACACUAUCGGGGGACCUGCCCUGAUAAUCAGUCUACAGGUGUAUCCAGCAGCUCCAGAGAGACAGCGACCAGCGAGAAGGGGCCAUGAUGAUGGAGGUGGUUUUGUCAAAACGAAAAUGGGGAUAUGUAGGGAAAAGAAAGAGAGAUCAGACUGUUACUGUGUCUACAUAGAAAGGGAAGACAUAAGAGACUCCAUUUUGAAAAAGACCUGUACUUUAAACAAUUGCUUUGCUGAGAUGUUGUUAAUCUGUAGCUUUGCCCCAGCCACUUUGCCCCAACCACUUUGACCCAAUCUGGAGCUCAUAAAAACAUGUGUUGUAUGAAAUCAAGGUUUAAGGCAUGUAGGGCUGUGCAGGACGUGCCUUGUUAACCAAAUGUUUGCAAGCAGUAUACUUGGUAAAAGUCAUCACCAUUCUCUCAUCUCAAUAAACCAGGGGCACAAUGCACUGUGGAAAGCCGCAGGGACCUCUGCCCUUGAAAGCUGGGUAUUGUCCAAAGUUCCUCCCCAUGUGAUAGUCUGAAAUAUGGCCUCGUGGGAUGAGAAAGACCUGACGGUCCCCCAGCGCGACACCCAUAAAAGAUCUGUGCUGAGGUGGAUUAGUCAAAGAGGAAAGACUUGCAGUUGAGAUAGAGGAAGGCCACUGUCUCCUGACUGCCCCUGGGAACUGAAUGUCUCGGUAUAAAACACGAUUGUACAUUUGUUCAGUUCUGAGAUGGGAGAAAAACCGCCCUAUGGUGGGAGGCGAGACAUGUUUACAGCAAUGCUGCCUUGUUAUCCUUUACUCCACUGAGAUGUCUGGGUGGAGAGAAACAUAAAUCUGGCUUACAUGCACGUCCAGUCAUAGUACCUUCCCUUGAACUUCAUUAUGACAUGGAUUCUAUUGCUCACGUUUGUUGCUGACCUUCUCCUUAUUAUCACCCUGCCCUCCUACUACAUUCCUUUUUGCUGAAAUAAUGAAGAUAAUAAUCAAUAAAAACUGAGGGAAUUCA
rnacentral:lncRNA from 1 species